UACGUAGGGUGCGAGCGUUAAUCGGAAUUACUGGGCGUAAAGCGUGCGCAGGCGGUUUUGUAAGCCAGAUGUGAAAUCCCCGGGCUUAACCUGGGAAUGGCAUUUGGGACUGCAAGGCUGGAGUGUGGCAGAGGAGACUGGAAUUCCUGGUGUAGCAGUGAAAUGCGCAGAUAUCAGGAGGAACACCGGUGGCGAAGGCGGUUCUCUGGGCCUGUACUGACGCUGAGGAACGAAAGCGUGGGGAGCGAACAGG
rnacentral:rRNA from 1 species